rnacentral:rRNA from 1 species
AUUGAGCGCUGGCGGCAGGCCUAACACAUGCAAGUCGAGCGGAUGAGGGGAGCUUGCUCCCUGAUUUAGCGGCGGACGGGUGAGUAAUGCCUAGGAAUCUGCCUGGUAGUGGGGGAUAACGUUCCGAAAGGAACGCUAAUACCGCAUACGUCCUACGGGAGAAAGCGGGGGAUCUUCGGGCCUCGCGCUAUCAGAUGAGCCUAGGUCGGAUUAGCUAGUUGGUGAGGUAAAGGCUCACCAAGGCGACGAUCCGUAACUGGUCUGAGAGGAUGAUCAGUCACACUGGAACUGAGACACGGUCCAGACUCCUACGGGAGGCAGCAGUGGGGAAUAUUGGACAAUGGGCGAAAGCCUGAUCCAGCCAUGCCGCGUGUGUGAAGAAGGUCUUCGGAUUGUAAAGCACUUUAAGUUGGGAGGAAGGGUUGUAGAUUAAUACUCUGCAAUUUUGACGUUACCGACAGAAUAAGCACCGGCUAACUUCGUGCCAGCAGCCGCGGUAACAC